rnacentral:rRNA from 1 species
GACGAACGCUGGCGGCGUGCUUAACACAUGCAAGUCGAACGGAAAGGCCCUGCUUGCAGGGUGCUCGAGUGGCGAACGGGUGAGUAACACGUGGGUGAUCUGCCCCUUACUUUGGGAUAAGCCUGGGAAACUGGGUCUAAUACCGGAUAGGACCAUUCUUUAGGUGGUGUGGUGGAGAGAUUAGUUUAGGUAUUGGAUGAGCUCGCGGCCUAUCAGCUUGUUGGUGGGGUGUUGGCGUACCAAGGGGUCGACGGGUAGCCGGCCUGAGAGGGUGGGCGGCCGCAUAGGGACUGAGGGACGGCGACGACGCCUACGGGAGGAAGCAGUGGAGAAGAGUGGAAAAUGGGGGAAGGAGGGAUGGAGCGACGCCGCGUGGGGGAGGAAGUCAUGCGGGCUGUAGACUCCUUAAGGCCAUGUAGACGCGCUGAUAGUGACGGUACUGGGAGAAGAAGCACCGGCUAACUACGUG